rnacentral:rRNA from 1 species
UCCGAAGCUGUGGAUACCUUUAUAGGUAUGGUAGGAGAGCGUUCUAUGUGCGAAGAAGGUGUACCGUGAGGAGUGCUGGAGCGCAUAGAAAUGAGAAUGCCGGUAUGAGUAGCGAAAGACAGGUGAGAAUCCUGUCCACCGUAAGACUAAGGUUUCCAGGGGAAGGCUCGUCCGCCCUGGGUUAGUCGGGACCUAAGGAGAGACCGAAAGGUGUAUCCGAUGGACAACAGGUUGAUAUUCCUGUACUAGAGUAUAUAGUGAUGGAGGGACGCAGUAGGCUAACUAAACCAGACGAUUGGAAGUGUCUGGCCAAGCAGUGAGGUGUGAUAUGAGUCAAAUGCUUAUAUCUAUAACAUUGAGCUGUGAUGGGGAGCGAAGUUUAGUAGCGAAGUUAGUGAUGUCACACUGCCGAGAAAAGCUUCUAGCGUUAAUUAUACUCUACCCGUACCGCAAACCGACACAGGUAGUCGAGGCGAGUAGCCUCAGGUGAGCGAGAGAACUCUCGUUAAGGAACUCGGCAAAAUGGCCCCGUAACUUCGGGAGAAGGGGCGCUGACUUAUGGUCAGCCGCAGUGAAUAGGCCCAAGCAACUGUUUAUCAAAAACACAGCUCUCUGCUAAAUCGUAAGAUGAUGUAUAGGGGGUGACGCCUGCCCGGUGCUGGUAGGUUAAGAGGAGUGCUUAGCAGUAGCGAAGGUAUGAAUUGAAGCCCCAGUAAACGGCGGCCGUAACAAUAACGGUCCUAAGGUAGCGAAAUUCCUUGUCGGGUAAGUUCCGACCCGCACGAAAGGCGUAAUGAUUUGGGCACUGUCUCAACGAGAGACUCGGUGAAAUUUUAGUACCUGUGAAGAUGCAGGUUACCCGCGACAGGACGGAAAGACCCCAUGGAGCUUUACUGCAGUUUGAUAUUGAGUAUCUGUACCACAUGUACAGGAUAGGUAGGAGCCUAUGACCUCGGGACGCCAGUUUCGAGUGAGGCGUUGUUGGGAUACUACCCUUGUGUUAUGGCUACUCUAACCCAGAUAGGUUAUCCCUAUCGGAGACGGUGUCUGACGGGCAGUUUGACUGGGGCGGUCGCCUCCUAAAAGGUAACGGAGGCGCCCAAAGGUUCCCUCAGAAUGGUUGGAAAUCAUUCGCAGAGUGUAAAGGUAUAAGGGAGCUUGACUGCGAGAGUUACAACUCGAGCAGGGACGAAAGUCGGGCUUAGUGAUCCGGUGGUUCCGCAUGGAAGGGCCAUCGCUCAACGGAUAAAAGCUACCCUGGGGAUAACAGGCUUAUCUCCCCCAAGAGUUCACAUCGACGGGGAGGUUUGGCACCUCGAUGUCGGCUCGUCGCAUCCUGGGGCUGUAGUCGGUCCCAAGGGUUGGGCUGUUCGCCAUUAAAGCGGCACGCGAGCUGGGUUCAGAACGUCGUGAGACAGUUCGGUCCCUAUCCGUCGCGGGCGUAGGAAAUUUGAGAGGAUCUGCUCCUAGUACGAGAGGACCAGAGUGGACUUACCGCUGGUGUACCAGUUGUUCUGCCAAGAGCAUCGCUGGGUAGCUAUGUAGGGAAGGGAUAAACGCUGAAAGCAUCUAAGUGUGAAGCCCACCUCAAGAUGAGAUUUCCCAUGAUUUUAUAUCAGUAAGAGCCCUGAGAGAUGAUCAGGUUGAUAGGUUAGAAGUGGAAGUGUGGUGACACAUGUAGCGGACUAAUACUAAUAGCUCGAGGACUUAUC